CCGGCACGGGUGAGUAACACGUAUCCAACCUGCCGUCUACUCUUGGACAGCCCUCUGAAAGGAAGAUUAAUACAAGAUGGCAUCAUGAGUCCGCAUGUUCACAUGAUUAAAGGUGUUCCGGUAGACGAUGGGGAUGCGUUCCAUUAGAUAGUAGGCGGGGUAACGGCCCACCUAGUCUUCGAUGGAUAGGGGUUCUGAGAGGAAGGUCCCCCACAUUGGAACUGAGACACGGUCCGA
rnacentral:rRNA from 1 species